UGGGGAAUUUUGGACAAUGGGCGAAAGCCUGAUCCAGCAAUGCCGCGUGUGUGAAGAAGGCCUUCGGGUUGUAAAGCACUUUUGUCCGGAAAGAAAUCCUUGGCUCUAAUACAGUCGGGGGAUGACGGUACCGGAAGAAUAAGCACCGGCUAACUACGUGCCAGCAGCCGCGGUAAUACGUAGGGUGCAAGCGUUAAUCGGAAUUACUGGGCGUAAAGCGUGCGCAGGCGGUUUGCUAAGACCGAUGUGAAAUCCCCGGGCUCAACCUGGGAACUGCAUUGGUGACUGGCAGGCUAGAGUAUGGCAGAGGGGGGUAGAAUUCCACGUGUAGCAGUGAAAUGCGUAGAGAUGUGGAGGAAUACCGAUGGCGAAGGCAGCCCCCCUGGGCCAAUACUGACGCUCAUGCACGAAAAGCGUGGGGGAGCAAACAGGAUUAGAUACCCCUGGUAGUCCACGCCCUAAAACGAUGUCAACUAGUUGUUGGGGAUUCAUUUCCUUAGUAACGUAGCUAACGCGUGAAGUUGACCGCCUGGGGAGUACGGUCGCAAGAUU
rnacentral:rRNA from 1 species